rnacentral:rRNA from 1 species
AAGGAUCAUUACAGUGUUUCCUGCCCUAACGGGUAGAAACCCCACCCUUGUAUAUUAUAUUUUGUUGCUUCGGCAGGCCACUCUUAGAGUGUAGGCUUAGGCUUAUCGUGCCUGUCAAAGGACCUUUAAAUUCUUGUUAUAGUGUCGUCUGAGUACUAUAUAAUAGUUAAAACUUUCAACAACGGAUCUCUUGGUUCUGGCAUCGAUGAAGAACGCAGCGAAAUGCGAUAAGUAAUGUGAAUUGCAGAAUUCAGUGAAUCAUCGAAUCUUUGAACGCACAUUGCGCCCCUUGGUAUUCCGAGGGGCAUGCCUGUUCGAGCGUCAUUUUGACCAACUCCUAUUCUUUUAUAGGGUCUUGGGUUAUGCCUUUAUAGGCAGGCCUCAAAAUCAGUGGCGGUGCUAUAUAGUUCUACGCGUAGUAAUACUUCUCGCUAUAGACACUAUCUAGUAACUUGCCAUCAACCUCCAACUUCUUAAGGUUGACCUCGGAUCAGGUAGGGAUACCCGCUGAACUUAAGCAUAUCAAUAAGCGGAGGAAAAGAAACCAACAGGGAUUACCUCAGUAACGGCGAGUGAAGCGGUAACAGCUCAAAUUUGAAAUCUGGGUCUUUCAGGCUCCGAGUUGUAAUUUGUAGAAGAUGCUUUGGGUAUAGUACCGGUCUAAGUUCCUUGGAACAGGACGUCAUAGAGGGUGAGAAUCCCGUAUGUGACUGGUUACUUUUGCCUAUGUAAAGCUCUUUCGACGAGUCGAGUUGUUUGGGAAUGCAGCUCUAAAUGGGAGGUAUAUUUCUUCUAAAGCUAAAUAUUGGCCAGAGACCGAUAGCGCACAAGUAGAGUGAUCGAAAGAUGAAAAGCACUUUGGAAAGAGAGUUAAACAGUACGUGAAAUUGUUGAAAGGGAAGCGCUUGCAACCAGACUUGCAUGCUAUUAAUCAUCCUGAGUUUUCUCUGGUGCACUUGGUAGUAUUCAGGCCAGCAUCGGUUUCAGUGGUGGGAUAAAGACUUAGGGAAUGUGACUCCUCUCGGGGGAGUGUUAUAGCCCUAGGUGCAAUGCCGCCUACUGGGACCGGGGACCGCGCUUCGGCUAGGAUGCUGGCGUAAUGGUUGUAAGCGACC